rnacentral:rRNA from 1 species
CUAUGCGCCUUGCCAGCCCGCUCAGGUGUGCCAGCAGCCGCGGUAAUACGGAGGAUGCGAGCGUUAUCCGGAUUUAUUGGGUUUAAAGGUGCGUAGGCGGAUUUUUAAGUCAGCGGUAAAAUGUCCGGGCUCAACCCCGGCCUGCCGUUGAAACUGGUGGCCUCGAGUGGGCGAGAAGUAUGCGGAAUGCGUGGUGUAGCGGUGAAAUGCAUAGAUAUCACGCAGAACUCCGAUUGCGAAGGCAGCAUACCGGCGCCCGACUGACGCUGAGGCACGAAAGCGUGGGUAUCAACAGG